rnacentral:rRNA from 1 species
GGGUUGUGAGGUUAAGCGACUAAGCGUACACGGUGGAUGCCCUGGCAGUCAGAGGCGAUGAAGGACGUGCUAAUCUGCGAUAAGCGUCGGUAAGGUGAUAUGAACCGUUAUAACCGGCGAUUUCCGAAUGGGGAAACCCAGUGUGAUUCGUCACACUAUCAUUAACUGAAUCCAUAGGUUAAUGAGGCGAACCGGGGGAACUGAAACAUCUAAGUACCCCGAGGAAAAGAAAUCAACCGAGAUUCCCCCAGUAGCGGCGAGCGAACGGGGAGGAGCCCAGAGCCUGAAUCAGUGUGUGUGUUAGUGGAAGCGUCUGGAAAGGCGCGCGAUACAGGGUGACAGCCCCGUACACAAAAAUGCACAUGCUGUGAGCUCGAUGAGUAGGGCGGGACACGUGGUAUCCUGUCUGAAUAUGGGGGGACCAUCCUCCAAGGCUAAAUACUCCUGACUGACCGAUAGUGAACCAGUACCGUGAGGGAAAGGCGAAAAGAACCCCGGCGAGGGGAGUGAAAAAGAACCUGAAACCGUGUACGUACAAGCAGUGGGAGCACGCUUAGGCGUGUGACUGCGUACCUUUUGUAUAAUGGGUCAGCGACUUAUAUUCUGUAGCAAGGUUAACCGAAUAGGGGAGCCGAAGGGAAACCGAGUCUUAACUGGGCGUUAAGUUGCAGGGUAUAGACCCGAAACCCGGUGAUCUAGCCAUGGGCAGGUUGAAGGUUGGGUAACACUAACUGGAGGACCGAACCGACUAAUGUUGAAAAAUUAGCGGAUGACUUGUGGCUGGGGGUGAAAGGCCAAUCAAACCGGGAGAUAGCUGGUUCUCCCCGAAAGCUAUUUAGGUAGCGCCUCGUGAAUUCAUCUCCGGGGGUAGAGCACUGUUUCGGCAAGGGGGUCAUCCCGACUUACCAACCCGAUGCAAACUGCGAAUACCGGAGAAUGUUAUCACGGGAGACACACGGCGGGUGCUAACGUCCGUCGUGAAGAGGGAAACAACCCAGACCGCCAGCUAAGGUCCCAAAGUCAUGGUUAAGUGGGAAACGAUGUGGGAAGGCCCAGACAGCCAGGAUGUUGGCUUAGAAGCAGCCAUCAUUUAAAGAAAGCGUAAUAGCUCACUGGUCGAGUCGGCCUGCGCGGAAGAUGUAACGGGGCUAAACCAUGCACCGAAGCUGCGGCAGCGACACUGAUGUGUUGUUGGGUAGGGGAGCGUUCUGUAAGCCUGUGAAGGUGUGCUGUGAGGCAUGCUGGAGGUAUCAGAAGUGCGAAUGCUGACAUAAGUAACGAUAAAGCGGGUGAAAAGCCCGCUCGCCGGAAGACCAAGGGUUCCUGUCCAACGUUAAUCGGGGCAGGGUGAGUCGACCCCUAAGGCGAGGCCGAAAGGCGUAGUCGAUGGGAAACAGGUUAAUAUUCCUGUACUUGGUGUUACUGCGAAGGGGGGACGGAGAAGGCUAUGUUGGCCGGGCGACGGUUGUCCCGGUUUAAGCGUGUAGGCUGGUUUUCCAGGCAAAUCCGGAAAAUCAAGGCUGAGGCGUGAUGACGAGGCACUACGGUGCUGAAGCAACAAAUGCCCUGCUUCCAGGAAAAGCCUCUAAGCAUCAGGUAACAUCAAAUCGUACCCCAAACCGACACAGGUGGUCAGGUAGAGAAUACCAAGGCGCUUGAGAGAACUCGGGUGAAGGAACUAGGCAAAAUGGUGCCGUAACUUCGGGAGAAGGCACGCUGAUAUGUAGGUGAAGUCCCUCGCGGAUGGAGCUGAAAUCAGUCGAAGAUACCAGCUGGCUGCAACUGUUUAUUAAAAACACAGCACUGUGCAAACACGAAAGUGGACGUAUACGGUGUGACGCCUGCCCGGUGCCGGAAGGUUAAUUGAUGGGGUCAGCGCAAGCGAAGCUCUUGAUCGAAGCCCCGGUAAACGGCGGCCGUAACUAUAACGGUCCUAAGGUAGCGAAAUUCCUUGUCGGGUAAGUUCCGACCUGCACGAAUGGCGUAAUGAUGGCCAGGCUGUCUCCACCCGAGACUCAGUGAAAUUGAACUCGCUGUGAAGAUGCAGUGUACCCGCGGCAAGACGGAAAGACCCCGUGAACCUUUACUAUAGCUUGACACUGAACAUUGAGCCUUGAUGUGUAGGAUAGGUGGGAGGCUUUGAAGUGUGGACGCCAGUCUGCAUGGAGCCGACCUUGAAAUACCACCCUUUAAUGUUUGAUGUUCUAACGUUGACCCGUGAUCCGGGUUGCGGACAGUGUCUGGUGGGUAGUUUGACUGGGGCGGUCUCCUCCUAAAGAGUAACGGAGGAGCACGAAGGUUGGCUAAUCCUGGUCGGACAUCAGGAGGUUAGUGCAAUGGCAUAAGCCAGCUUGACUGCGAGCGUGACGGCGCGAGCAGGUGCGAAAGCAGGUCAUAGUGAUCCGGUGGUUCUGAAUGGAAGGGCCAUCGCUCAACGGAUAAAAGGUACUCCGGGGAUAACAGGCUGAUACCGCCCAAGAGUUCAUAUCGACGGCGGUGUUUGGCACCUCGAUGUCGGCUCAUCACAUCCUGGGGCUGAAGUAGGUCCCAAGGGUAUGGCUGUUCGCCAUUUAAAGUGGUACGCGAGCUGGGUUUAGAACGUCGUGAGACAGUUCGGUCCCUAUCUGCCGUGGGCGCUGGAGAACUGAGGGGGGCUGCUCCUAGUACGAGAGGACCGGAGUGGACGCAUCACUGGUGUUCGGGUUGUCAUGCCAAUGGCACUGCCCGGUAGCUAAAUGCGGAAGAGAUAAGUGCUGAAAGCAUCUAAGCACGAAACUUGCCCCGAGAUGAGUUCUCCCUGACUCCUUGAGAGUCCUGAAGGAACGUUGAAGACGACGACGUUGAUAGGCCGGGUGUGUAAGCGCAGCGAUGCGUUGAGCUAACCGGUACUAAUGAACCGUGAGGCUUAACCUUACAACGCCGAAGGUGUUU